AAUGUGAUCGUCUCUCGCAUAUCAAUAAGCGGAGGAAAAGAAACUAACAAGGAUUCCCCUAGUAACGGCGAGUGAAGCGGGAAGAGCUCAAAUUUGAAAUCUUAAAGGGUUUCCCUUUACGAAUUGUAGUUUAAAGAAGUGUUUUCUGUUGAGGUUUUGGUAAAAGUUCUUUGGAAUAGGACAUCAUAGAGGGUGAGAAUCCCGUAUUUGACCUUUACUUUCAACUUUGUGAUACACUUUCAAAGAGUCGGAUUGUUUGGGAAUGCAGUCCAAAAUGGGUGGUAAAUUUCAUCUAAAGCUAAAUAUUGGCGAGAGACCGAUAGCGAACGAGUACCGUGAGGGAAAGAUGAAAAGAACUUUGAAAAGAGAGUUAAACAGUACGUGAAAUUGUCAAAAGGGAAGCGUUUGACACCAGUGUUGUUUUUCUGAAAAUCAAUUAAAGAACUGUUUAUGCUAAGUUGUUUAGACUUUAUCAGCUAUCUGCUUAGUUUUGAGCUUUUCUUUAAUGCACUUUUCAGUUAACAAGUCAACAUCAAUUUCUUUUGCUGUAAAAAAGCUUGAGGAAGGUGGCUUGAGAUUCAGUCUUAAGUGUUUAUAGCCUCUUGCCUAUGCAGUCGGAGAGAUUGAGGUCUGCAGCGUAGAUCCUUCGGGGCUAAAUGCAUUUGUGCUAAGUUAUAGCAUUUUAUAGACAACUUGUUGACUAUGAUUUGUCUUGUAGCUUACUCGCUUAUGUUAUUUUACCUACGCUUAGGAUGUUGAUCUACAGAGCGAGAGU
rnacentral:rRNA from 1 species